AGCAAGAACCGGUGCUAAAAGUUUUUUUUUUUAAUAUUUUUGGGGACUUUUUGCACCAAUUCACAUCAAGAACCGGUGCGAAAAAUAAGUUUUCGCACCGAUUUUGAACCGGUGCGAAAAAUCUUGGGAUUUGGCAUCCCUCAAAUCAGGACCGGUUCAAAACCAGUGCGAAUUGGGGGUUUUGAACCGGUGCUGAUUAGCAAUUUUCAUCUAGUGCUAUUUGGACCCCUUACAGAGUCACACGUGUCACACUUUCAUUAGACCACGUGGCGAGGGUAAAAAUCCCCAAAUCAUCUGCCCCUCAUAGGGGUGACGUGGCACGCCACGCGAUGCAUGUGACAAGCGUCACACAUGCAUGGGUGGACAACAUUUUUACUGUUUACCUUCUAGAGUAAAUGUCAGGGUUGCCCCUAAAACAUUUACCUCUCUAUAAAUAUAUUUUCACCCCCCUCAUUUUUCGCAUAUUCACGAAUAAUUCUUCGAGAGAGAAUCUUUGACUUUUGAGAGAAUUUGCUUAUUGCCGCUUGAGUUCGAUCUGCCUGCAUUACAGUCGACCCAAGAAGUUCCAACAGUACCUUCAAUACAAGGUAACUGUCUGCUCCAUCUCUUUCUUGUUCUUUAAUUUUUCGUUUAUGUUUGUUAUUCCUUGUUUUUUCAAAAUGGUUUCACAAACACACACCGCACGACCUAGGGUAGCUGUCAUCCGGUCACCGGGGACGACUGAAUCUAGGACUAAGAGUGUCGCCUGCCCCCACUUGGACACCCCUCUGCAAACAUCCCCGAAUCUGACCGUCUCUGUGUCUGUGCAGGACACUAUGGUCAGAACUAAGAGGACGCCCAGGGCCCCAUAGAUGAUGUGGAAGACGACGACACUAUUAGGGUGCCAAGAAAUGAGGUUUUUGAUCACCCACCCAGCUCUCCAAGAACGCCGGAUGACUCCAUUCUGAACGAGUCAGAUGAUGGGUCUGAUAAUAGUGCAUCCGGCUCUGAACAAGGGUUAUCCCAGUCGGACGCCGUUUCAGGCGGUUCCAAUGAUAGAACUGAGAGCCGCCUGUAGCCCAUGAAGAGCUAGAAAGCUCUAAGUCUGCCUCUGACUCUUAGGAGGAGGUCGCUUUUCUUGAAAGAGGAUAAGGGGAAGAUUCUUCCUCUGCUCGAGAAGAAUUCACCCUCUAUUUCACCUAUAUCACUGCUUGGACUCAGAGACAUAUGUUAAAAAAGCUUGAGGAAUACCGGGACACUUAUGUCAUGGGGGCCGGAUAUGAAAUUCAUGUCCCUGACCUGGAAGAUACAGUCGUCUUGCCAUUCGAUCAGAGUUAUGGGGAUCAAUGCUUCAGCUGUUACGAAGCAACGAUACAGGCGGGCUUGAGAUUUCUCCUUGACAAAAACGUUAAGAAAAUCCUGGACGGAUACUGCCUGGGUGUUUGGCAGCUUGCCCCUAAUUUGUGGGUGAAUGUUCUUGGGUACAUCGCCGCCUGUAAGAUGCUCAGGGUGAAACCGGGCUUUGAGGCCUUUGCUUCGAUGCAUUAUUUGAGCGAGGCUCCUAAGGCAGCCGACCCUAGGUGGUACACCCUAACUUGUCACAAAGGGUUCAUGAUGACCUUGGGCAAGGAGUCAAAGUGGAAGGUCAGGCGAAAUCGAUUUUAUAUCAUCUCCUCGCCAGAUACCAGGCGGAACCAGAAGUAUAAUACUUGGAAUAGGAACCCAUACCUUCUUGGCCAGAAGGCUAUCCUCCCGCUUGUUCCUAAUGAAGGCUUGGAUCAAAUUUUGAUUUCUGGCUUGUUUAAGGUCUCCACCAAAAUCUUAGAGGAAGGGAACGAAAGGGAGAUAAUUCCCCAUAGUUACAUCCCUAGGUUUGAGUGGCUAAGGGACCCUUUUUACUUAGCCGCAUACGACCUUAGCAUAGAAAAAACUAAAGGUAGCUGGUCGGAUGGGACCGUCUAGCAAAAUACAUCUCCUUUUUUUUUUUUUUUUUUUAUUAAUUUCUUACUAACACUCAUCCUGCCUUUUUUGUAGAAGAAGCAAUGUCGCAGCUUUCUCCAAGUAAGAAACCUGCUAGCUCUACUGCCGCCUGUCGCCAAAUGAUCUGGCAGAUUAACCAGAUCUUCAAGAAAGAUCAGCUGGCCCAUGUAAGUUUUCCACAACUGUCACAGUCAGGCGGACCUUAUUGUCUUGAACUGAUGGCUUAACUUCUUUAUUUUCAGGAAGGAUCAACAAGGCCGCCUGCUCCCCCCAAUUUUGGUGAUAAGCCUCUGAAGCGUCUGUUUGCUGAAGAGGACCAGACGCCCUCAAAAUCGAGGAAAUCUGUGGCACAAAAAAAUCCAUCUGCUGCCAAGUCUGGGGAUGAUUCUCAUCCCUCUACUACCGGCAAGUCACCUGCUUCUCUUGAAGCACUUAAAAAACCGAAUGCCCCUCGGUUGUUGCAGAGUGGCAAGCCAUUCACCGCUGCUGUCGGCUCAGCAGCAGCAGGCGGACAUGCCAUAAGCGGACACAAAGACAAGCAUCCUAAAGACUUGGAGGUUGAGCUCCCAGGUUUUAGUGCCUUAAAUCCAUUACCUUACGCUAAUAGGGUUUAUCAGCAGUCGCCCAGCAGCUCUGAAGACACCCGGUCUAUAGACCGGGUUUAUGUUAACUUCUCACCAAGUGUUGAAUGUGAAAAUGCUGCCAGAGGCCGGAUAUACAGCAGUUCGCUAAGAACAUGCUGAAGACCGUCUCUACCGAGGAGCGGGAUUCCGUGAGGGGGGUUGGCACCCUCAACUUUGAUGCCAUUUUGGCCCUGCUAGCUGAGAUGCAGGCCAUGCUACGGGUGAAUGGGCUCAAGAAGCCGUUCUCAAAUAAACAAAAAGAGGUGGAGGCCAACCUGCAGGUCAAGCAGCAGCUAAAGGCGGCCCAAAAGAGGGUAUUUGAGCUUGAGGGCAAGCUGAAGUGAGCCAAGGGCGAGCUUGAGAAGCUUGGAGAUGUCAUCAGGGAUACAAACAGUCUCAGCUGCCAAAACGAGAAUCUGAAAAGGAAGCUCGCCAACUAGGAAGAGCAGUUGAGGAAGAAGUACCAGCCAGGGCCGAGGAGGAAAAGAGGCAGCUGAUCGAGGAGAAUGAGGUCGACUGCGCCAUCCGGAUGAGAAUGGCUUGGAAGGCUUUGCAUCUUGACGACGACUACUCCGUCUAGAACUAUCGUUUGAGCAAGCUACUGACGAGCUUGAUGAGGAGCGACUACAGGCGGAGAAAAAGGGCGAAGCUGAUAAUGAUGAAGACAUGGCUGAGAAUGAGGAUUUCGAGCAUGAUGGGGGUCAUCCGACUGAUGCUGGUGAAAAGCCGGAUAGGAAUGUAGAAGAGUCCUCCCCUAAUGAUGAUCAAUUUUAAAUGUUUCUUUGGCCGAAUGGCCUGACAAUUACUUUUUCGGCAUACGUGCCGAGUAUGUAUGUAUCUUUACCGACUAUGGAAUCGGAUUUGAUUAACACAUUUUCUUUUCUUCACCGAUUGUAAAAUCGGUUAACACUUUCUUUUGGUCGACCAUUGGGUCGGAUAUCUUGCAUAAAAAAUUUUGUCCUUGCAUUUUUUAUUAUGCAUAAAUUUUGCUUAGUGCGUAGCCUUUUUAUUUUAUGCAUGCGGUAUACCAGAUGUAUUUGCCCCUGGACGGAUGUGCACUUGGUUUCAAAAUUGGGUUGAUUGACUUAGAAAUUUUUUAUACUUGAAGGAGUAUGACUAAUUUCCAAGUCAAUCCAAUCACUAUGGUGAUUGCCCCAAACCAAGCGGACAGUCGUCCAUCGAGCAGCCGGAUAUUUUAACCAUGCGGUCAUUGACCGUCUCCAAUCGACAUAUGCCGAAUGACUUUAGAUGCUAAGUUCUGGACUUAGCAUUCAAUUUCUAUUUGAAUCAGCACUACCUCAAUUAGGCAGGCGGGUAGUCGUUUAGUAGCAGACGACCAUUGACCGUAUUGAGUCGUUUUAAACGAGCAAUGUUUGGCUGCUAAGUUUUGGACUUAGCUUAUAUUUUCAAAUUUGGCCGCUUGUAUUGCCCCUGAGCAAUAACUGGCAUCUUAAUGGUGUAAGCACCUGAAUAAGUUCUAUCUAAAUGAAACAAUAGCCAGCUACCGGUUGUUAUAGAAUAGGCAGUAAACUUUAGCUAUCUAGGUCUCAUAUUAGUUAUUCAAGUCAAACAGCUACGAGCUUGUCUUUAUCCAGAUAGUCGGUUGGGUCGUUUGUUUUUUAGUUUAUAGAUCAAUGUACCACCCAAAUGGGAGAUGCUCUCUGCGACGAAUUCACCCGGAUGGGCGUCACCAGAUGUCAUACUCUUGUAGGAGCAGACAAUUGGUUUAGAUUUCGCCGCCUACACAUUGCACAGCCGGUGUUCCCAUUGGGAGACAUAUCUAAAUAAGCAUAAAUAAACAAUAUUGAAAAUAAAAAGCAACUUUUCAUUGAUAAGCUUUUUAUUUACAAAAAAGUUAUAAGUCUUAGAAGUAGUAUAUCUUUAGAUUGUCCACAUUCCAAGUUCUGGCUAGCUUUCUGCCGUCUGAAGUUUCUAGGCGGUAAGUGCCGCUCUUAUUUCUUCAUAGAUCCGGUAGGGACCUUCCCAAUUAGGGAUCAACUUGCCUUGCUCAUUGGCCCUACCGGUUGCCUCCAUUUUCCAUAGCACAAAGUCUCCUACUUUCAAGGGCCGUUUGUGUACUCUUUUGUUGUAGGCUCUUGUCAUUCUCAAAUAGUAUAUCUCAUGACGCAAGGCAGCAUUGCCCGUGCGUUCGGGAAGUGAGUCCAAUGCCAGCCGCAUAGCCUCCCAAUUUUCCUAUUCAUCAUUUAACAUGACUCGAAGAGUCGGCUUAUAAUGCUCAAUAGGCAAGACGACUUCAGCACCGUACACCAUGAGAAAUGGGAUUUCGCCGGUGGCCCCUUUUGCUGUUGUUCUGAUGGCCCAUAGGACAUAAGUUAACUCUUCUACCCAUAGACCGCUAGCCCUUUCAAUUUUCUUUUUUAUGCCGUCUGAGAUUAGCUUGUUGAGGGCUUCAACCUAGCCGUUUGCUUGGGGACGACCGACUGAUGCAAAACACUAAGAGAUCCCUUGGUCUCCUAGCUUAUUCUUGAGGGUAAGCGUCUCAAAUUGAGGGCCAUUGUCAAAGACCAUAGACAUAGGUACCCUAAAUCCGGUGAUGAUGUUCUUC